UUCCCCUGGCAAAGGGCAAAGAGACAUAUUGUUGGUAUUGCUCUGAUAUCAGUGAGGGGCAGAGCAAAUGACAGUCCUCUGUUCAUCCUAACUUGAUGCCUGGCUUGCAUGCCAAAGCUGUAUCAUGCCUAGGACAUAUCA